GACGAACGCUGGCGGCGGGCUUAACACAUGCAAGUCGAACGGAAAGGCCCUGAGUUCGUGGUGUUCUGGAGUGGCGAACGGGGGAGGAACACGUGAGCAACGUGCCCUUGACUUUGGGAGAAGUUCAGGAAAGGGGAGCUAAGACCAGAUAGGAGACCCUGCUGCGUGGUGGGGGUGGGAAAGUCGCGGCUGGUGGGGAUGGACGCGCGGCUUAUCGGCUUGUUGGUGGGGUGGUGGCUUACCAAGGCUUUGACGGGUAGCCCGCCUGAGAGGGUGACCGGCCACACUGGGACCGAGGUGCGGCCCAGACUCCUACGGUUGGCAGCGGUGGGGAAUAUUGCUCCAUGGGCGGAGGCCUGGUGCAGCAGCGCCGCGUGCGGGAUGACGGCCUUCGGGUUGUAAACCGCUUUCGGCUUUGACGAAGCCUGAGUUACGGUAAUGGGUAGAGUAGCACCCGCUAACUACCUG
rnacentral:rRNA from 1 species